rnacentral:lncRNA from 1 species
UGAAAACUAUAAAUAAACAACUGCCCAAUCAUUUUUUCAAGUAAAUUUGUCCGGUCAUUUGUGCACACCUCUGAACCCAGAAUUUUAUCAUGCAAGAAACACAGAUGGGUUGGCUACUCUAAUAUAUAUUGGUCUUGGGGUUUGGGUAUGCAGCAUGUUUCCGAUCUGAUUCCAUUAAAUUACCUUCACAUCACCAUUGUGAGGUCAGGCCUGUACUGGUGAAAUAGGCUAUACUAGCAGAUCAAGUAGUUGUCUUCCGUCAAGGUAUGUUCUUGCACUCUUUGGAUUUGUUUGUUUCCUCGGAAAAUAAGCUUGACUUUCCUUCUCCUCAGGCUAAUCCGGGUGCCCCAAGGAUCUUUCCUUGGUUACCAUUUGAAGUUUUCUUCGUUGCUUCCGUGUUUUUUACCUGCACCACUCUAGUUCUUGUUCACCGUGCUCCGUUUUUCAUUUAUCAAUUCUGAUUUUAGUAAAGUUUCCAUUUGUUUGGAUUGUGAGAUUGGCUUUGGAUGUGAUCUUUUUCAAUUAUCUCCAUGACAUAAUUUUGGGUUUAUCUGUAAAUUUGUUUUAUGGCUAAAAUCUAAUUUAAUCAAUCUUGAAUAUCAUUUUUAAUCAUGUUUAGGCGGAUAUUUAUGUCGAAUACGAAGUGGAGUGAGAGCUACAAUCAGCACAGUAUAUUUUACGUUGAAAAAGAAAAUUAUAUAGCUUUGGUAUAUCUACCUUAUUGCUCUAUUUCUAGUUCUGAUAUGAGUUUGAGAUACAGUUUUAAGAUAAUAAUACGUCACCAAAGGCAUAUACUCACAAACACACAUAAACAUACAAAAAAGUCUUGGAUACACAUUAUUGUGUGCUAUGGGUUAUAGGCUAACAUAAACUAUUAUAGACACUUACAGUUGGCAAAAAAUCAGUAUUUUACGAGUUAAUGCGUAGUAAUUUUCUUUUAUAGUUUUCUUUUAUCUUUAUUGCUCAGAUUCCAGUUUAGUGUUAUUUUAAAUUAUGUAUUAUCAAAUUAACAAAUUUGUGGGGAGAAGCUGUAAAAAUAAUUUGUUAUUGUAAAAAGGGAUGGAACACUUGUGCCAUGGUAGUCCAUUGAUGCUAACGGAGAUGGCUAUUGAAGAUGAAGUCUUGUGUCAAGGAUGUGGGAAGACCAUUUCAGGUCAGAGCUACGGUUGCAGUGAGCAUAAGUUUUAUCUGCAUAAAUCCUGUGCUGAGCUUCCCUUAAAGAUUAAGAGCAUCUUCCACUUAAAGUCGCCUUACUCUGCAUAAGGAUUACACUAAGGAUAGUGAAAAAAGUUGUAUAUGUUAUUGUUGUAAGAAACAUAUACCAGGUUUCAGAUACAGUUGUGACAAUUGUNNNNN